GGGGCCGUAGCUCAGCUGGGAGAGCGUCGCGUUCGCAAUGCGAAGGUCNNAGGUCAGGGGUUCGAUCCCCCUCGGCUCCACCA
rnacentral:tRNA from 1 species